GAACUUGCUAUUUGGGUGACAAAAUUACCUGAGGUGUUGGGUCAAAUUUCUACAUUUGACCACAACAAAACAAAUGGAGGGAGGGAGGAAAUUAGAGGCACUAUCCCUGUGAUUGGCUUUGAAAAUAUUCUUGCAAAUGGAGGGUCCAGGUGUUUGUUUUCUUUAGAUUGGAAAUCUGAUGAAAAGCUUAUAUUCAUUUCACACUUUUUGAAGUCAAAUAACAAGGAAAUGAAACUAUUGGAUCCAUUAGUCCUAGAGAUUGUUGACUAUUGCAUUAUCAAUGAUUCUUGUUUGGCUCCUAAUGAACUGUUGGUAUUUUUUCACCAAAAGCAUUUGAUUCAAAGGCAAGAAUUCUACACAUUAGGAGAGCCUUCUGAAAUCAUGAGCAGUAGUAUUUUGGAUUGCUAGGCAUUGCUUCUCAAUGAAAAUAAAAAAUAUUUAAAGGAUGGACCUUGGAAAUUGUACUUUGGUUCUUCAAUUAGUGUGAGUUGUUUAAUUAUUUCAAUGUUUAUACAUGUUUUUACUUUUUACUGUUUUUUUUAUUUGUUAAAAUAUUAUGUAGGUUACAAUAGUAGAAGUUGUCGGCAGUGAUGGCAAUUCACAAAUAAUGGACAAUGUUUAUCAAGGUUUGGAGGAGUGGAUGAAAAUAGCUUGAAAUGAUUUUGAUUUGUCAGAAGUUGAGCUGGUAAUAUUUUCUGUUUUUUUAUGCUUUAAAAAAUAUAGUUCCUUUUUUUUUAUGUUAUAGAUACCUUUUUUUAAAUGAGAGUGACUAUUGAAAAUUGCAUAAGUAUAUUUUUAAAAGAGGUCACUAUAAUAUCAAAAAUGGAAUCUAUAUGUGUUUUUUUUAUUCUGACUAAUUGUGGUAUUAUUGUUGCAGAUAUUUUUAACUUGUCUUUGGGGCAAUCACUAUUGCUUAUUUUUGGUGAUUUUGACUAAAGGAAAAAUUCAGUUUAUUAAUAAUCUGAAUUAUGAUGAGGAUAAUCGUAUCUUUUUGAAAAAGUUGUCUAGUCUCCUGUGUGAUAUGAUCAGUACCUACUUUGAUCAAAGGCUUAC